rnacentral:rRNA from 1 species
UCGAGCGGUAAGGCCCUUCGGGGUACACGAGCGGCGAACGGGUGAGUAACACGUGGGUAACCUGCCCUGUACUCUGGGAUAAGCCUUGGAAACGAGGUCUAAUACCGGAUAUGACACUGGAUCGCAUGAUCUGGUGUGGAAAGUUCCGGCGGUAUGGGAUGGACCCGCGGCCUAUCAGCUUGUUGGUGGGGUAAUGGCCUACCAAGGCGACGACGGGUAGCCGGCCUGAGAGGGUGACCGGCCACACUGGGACUGAGACACGGCCCAGACUCCUACGGGAGGCAGCAGUGGGGAAUAUUGCACAAUGGGCGAAAGCCUGAUGCAGCGACGCCGCGUGAGGGAUGACGGCCUUCGGGUUGUAAACCUCUUUCAGCAGGGACGAAGCGCAAGUGACGGUACCUGCAGAAGAAGCACCGGCUAACUACGUGCCAGCAGCCGCGGUAAUACGUAGGGUGCGAGCGUUGUCCGGAAUUAUUGGGCGUAAAGAGCUCGUAGGCGGUUUGUCGCGUCGGCCGUGAAAACUUGGGGCUUAACUCCAAGCUUGCGGUCGAUACGGGCAGACUUGAGUUCGGCAGGGGAGACUGGAAUUCCUGGUGUAGCGGUGAAAUGCGCAGAUA